rnacentral:rRNA from 1 species
UACGUAGGCAGCAAGCGUUGUUCGGAGUUACUGGGCGUAAAGGGUGUGUAGGCGGUUGUUUAAGUUUGGUGUGAAAUCUCCCGGCUUAACUGGGAGGUGCGCCGAAAACUGGAAGGCUUGAGUAUGGGAGAAGGUAAGCGGGAAUUCCCGGUGUAGCGGUGAAAUGCGUAGAUAUUGGGAGGAACACCAGUGGCGAAGGCGGCCACCUGGACCGGUUCUGACGCUGAUGCGCGAAAGCGUGGGUAGCAAACGAGG